rnacentral:rRNA from 1 species
GAUGAACGCUGACAGAAUGCUUAACACAUGCAAGUCUUUGGCGAAGCUGUGCUUGCACAGCCUAGCCAAGGCGGACGGGUGAGUAACGCGUAAGGGACUUGCCCUGCAGUCAGGGAUAACAGACGGAAACGACUGAUAAGACCUGAUAAAGUCAGGCGGACUCAUGUCCAGUCUGAUGAAAAGGAAUGCUGCAGGAGAGCCUUGCGUCCUAUUAGCUUGUUGGUGGGGUAACGGCCCACCAAGGCGAUGAUAGGUAGCCGGCCUGAGAGGGUGGACGGCCACAAGGGGACUGAGAUACGGCCCUUACUCCUACGGGAGGCAGCAGUGGGGAAUAUUGGACAAUGGGGGCAACCCUGAUCCAGCAAUUCUGUGUGCACGAUGAAGGUCUUCGGAUUGUAAAGUGCUUUCAGCAGGGAAGAAAAAAA